CUCUGAUAAUAUCAGCCCCACUACUUAAAAAGAUGGAGACAGGAGAAGCGGGUUCCGCUAUGGGUGCGGUGAGGUCCACUUCCUCCAGGUUCCCGAUUCGGGCUCCAUCGACUCUCCAAUGCUGCAGGCAAUUGAGAAAAAGAUUAAGGAACAACCGGAUGCAGAUGUUGUCAUCAUCAAGGAUGCCUUUGGAGAUGGUCGACUUGUAAGGUCAGCUUGUCACUCUUUGAGAUGUUUGAAUUGGGCUGAGGCAAUGGAGAGCUAUUCAGAAUUAUGGGCAAGUCUUGUUGGUUAUUAUGUUAUUGUUGUAUAAGUAUAUUUUGUAUGUAAUGAAAUGUUGUCGAUGAACCGAAAUGGAUAUACCUUGUAAAAGUGUUAGAAGAUCUCUCUUAUUUGGAAUUUCGGAAUGUUAAGUCUAGUUUAUGAUAAUAUGAACUUGUGGUAAAUGGUUGGAGUUAUGAUUGUAUAAAUUAUAUAGCUUAUGGAUUUAUAAAUGUUGUUCAUGUUUGCUAA